AACGAACGCUGGCGGCAGGCCUAACACAUGCAAGUCGAGCGGACCCUUCGGGGUUAGCGGCGGACGGGUGAGUAACGCGUGGGAAUAUGCCCUUCUCUACGGAAUAGUCCUGGGAAACUGGGGGUAAUACCGUAUACGCCCUUUGGGGGAAAGAUUUAUCGGGGAAGGAUGAGCCCGCGUUGGAUUAGGUAGUUGGUGGGGUCAUGGCCUACCAAGCCGACGAUCCAUAGCUGGUUUGAGAGGAUGAUCAGCCACACUGGGACUGAGACACGGCCCAGACUCCUACGGGAGGCAGCAGUGGGGAAUCUUAGACAAUGGGGGCAACCCUGAUCUCGCCAUGCCGCGUGAGUGAUGAAGGCCUUAGGGUUGUAAAGCUCUUUCAGCUGGGAAGAUAAUGACGGUACCAGCAGAAGAAGCCCCGGCUAACUCCGUG
rnacentral:rRNA from 1 species